GAAAAUCAGAGCAGAGGGGCCCAACUGUUAAUGAAAAUCCUCAGUCCUAUGAUUAAAAUAAAGAAGCACACUGUCUUCCUACAGAUUCAGGAAACUACUAAAGCCU